UCCCAUAACGGUUGCCAGAUAACAUGUCUC
rnacentral:piRNA from 1 species